GGGGGGGGUUGUGUUUAUUAUUGCCCUCAUCUUUGUGGUCAGGCGAUUUUGCAAGCAGAACCCUGAAGCUCCGUACAGGGCGCUGAAUGAUGAAGAAGAAAUUACACCACAGCCACAUUCAUACAGAUAUGAUGAUGCUGCAAAUCCAAAUAACUAAUAGAAUAUUUCUUCUGCUAUUUUAAUAACAUUCACAAUAGAUAUAUAUUAUGCUGCAAUAUGAAAAUAAUCAAAAAGAUAUGUUCCUUAUGCGAAGUUUGUGAGAGACUUUGGUUUAGCCUUCUGUUUUAAUUAGCAUGUAUGAACGAGUUAUAUAAUGUGAUAUAAUAUGCAACAGCACAUACAUGUAUCAGAGCUUUUGUUGUAUAAAGAUAGGAUGAUGAACACUUAAAUGUUUCUACUAUUUUUAUGAAUUAUAUAUUUGUCUGAAUUUUUUUCUAUUUUUUACAUUGACAAUGUGUGAUUCUGAAAAAAGCUUAUAAACAUAUUAUAUUACGUAAAAAUUAAUGCGGUGGUUUAGUGAUUAAUUUAUCACCGUGUAAUUCUUUAUUAUAUUAAUGUUGCAUUCUUUGUACAUUGUAUUUGUACUCUUUAAACGCAUUCCAACAAAUUGUAAAUACUCAAACUUUUAGCUUGUUAUUUUUACAUAUUUGCUAAUGAAAAUUAUAACUCUCCCUUCCCAUUAUUUCUAUACAAAAUGAUAAGUAAUUAAAAGCUACUUAUACGA